UUUUUUUUUGCCGAAUCAAACUCGGGAAAUCUACCACGAGGACACGCACGUACGCUAUUUGGUGAUCUAAAGGUCAAGAACACUGCUGGCCCACCGAUCGAGCAGAGGUACACGAGCAAAUCCGAACUGCACGGCGUCUUCCGCUUCACCGCAGUAACAAUGAAGCACCAUCGCACAGCACGUACCACGACGAUAUGAUGGCACGAGUUCACACCAACCAAAUCACGGCAGAGGGACACCCCUGAUUUUGAUUAUUGUUGCGCUAGCGUUCCCAGUUUUACCUCGUCAAUUAUUUGGUUAGAACAUCUCUAUUCUGUAUUUCUAUGGUUCACUUUGCACUCAAUUCAAAAGGAAAUUUUUCAUUGAGUCCAACAUUUUGGAAGAAUUUAUUUGUUUCUAUAAUAACUAUGCCCAUGCAAACAAUCUUCAUA
rnacentral:lncRNA from 1 species